AUACGGAGGGUGCAAGCGUUGUUCGGAAUUACUGGGCGUAAAGCGCGCGUAGGCGGUUUGUUAUGUCAGAUGUGAAAGUCCACGGCUCAACCGUGGAAGUGCAUUUGAAACUGGCAAACUUGAGUACUGGAGGGGGUGGUGGAAUUCCCGGUGUAGAGGUGAAAUUCGUAGAUAUCGGGAGGAAUACCGGUGGCGAAGGCGACCACCUGGCCAGAUACUGACGCUGAGGUGCGAAAGCGUGGGGAGCAAACAGGAUUAGAAACCCUAGUAGUCC
rnacentral:rRNA from 1 species